rnacentral:rRNA from 1 species
GCAUGCAAGUCGAGCGAGGCCAGUUUGUAGCAAUACGAGCUGAGUCGAGCGGCGCAAGGGGCAGUAAUGCAUGGGUAACGUACCUCCGGGUCGCGGAUAGCCAUGGGAAACUAUGGGUAAUACGCGAUAAAGCUGAGAAGCCAAAGGCUUGCCGCCCGGAGAGCGGCUCAUGUCGUAUUAGCUAGUUGGUGGGGUAACGGCCCACCAAGGCGAAGAUGCGUAGCGGGUGUGAGAGCACGACCCGCGCCACUGGCACUGAGACACUGGCCAGACACCUACGGGUGGCUGCAGUCGAGGAUCUUCGGCAAUGAGCGCAAGCUUGACCGAGCGACGCCGCGUGGAGGAUGAAGGCCUUCGGGUUGUAAACUCCUUUUGUGGGGGAGGAAAUUUCUGACCUAUCCCAUGAAUAAGCACGGGCUAAGUUCGUGCCAGCAGCCGCGGUAAGACGAACCGUGCGAACGUUGUUCGGAAUCACUGGGCUUAGAGGGCGCGUAGGUGGCUAGCCAAGUCGGGGGUGAAAUCUUUCGGC